CGUAGGUGGCAAGCGUUGUCCGGAUUUAUUGGGUUUAAAGGGUGCGUAGGCGGCCUUAUAAGUCAGUGCUGAAAUAUCCCGGCUUAACCGGGAGGGUGGCAUUGGUACUGUAGGGCUUGAGUGUAGUCGAGGUAGGCGGAAUUGACGGUGUAGCGGUGAAAUGCUUAGAUAUCGUCAAGAACACCGAUAGUGUAGACAGCUUACUAGGCUACAACUGACGCUGAGGCACGAAAGUGUGGGGAUCAAACAGGAUUAGAUACCCUGGUAGUCCACACUGUAAACGUUGAUUACUCGAUGUUGGCGAUACACAGUCAGCGUCUUAGCGCAAGCGAUAAGUAAUCCACCUGGGGAGUACGCCGGCAACGGUG
rnacentral:rRNA from 1 species